rnacentral:rRNA from 1 species
UACAGAGGGGGCAAGCGUUAUUCGGAAUUAUUGGGCGUAAAGGGCGCGUAGGUGGCCGCAUAAGUCAACUGUGAAAUCCCAGGGCUUAACCCUGGAAGUGCAGCUGAUACUGUGUGGCUUGAGUCUCGGAGAGGAUGGUGGAAUUCCCAGUGUAGAGGUGAAAUUCGUAGAUAUUGGGAGGAACACCGGUGGCGAAGGCGACCAUCUGGACGAAGACUGACACUGAGGCGCGAAAGCGUGGGGAGCAAACAGG